AUUGAACGCUGGCGGUAGGCCUAACACAUGCAAGUCGAACGCGUAAGUCCUUCGGGAUGAGUAGAGUGGCGGACGGGUGAGUAACGCGUAGGAAUCUAUCCUGUAGUGGGGGAUAACGUUUCGAAAGGAACGCUAAUACCGCAUACGCCCCAAGGGGGAAAGCGGGGGACCUUCGGACCUCGUGCUAUAGGAGGAGCCUGCGGCGGAUUAGGUAGUUGGUGAGGUAAAGGCUCACAAAGGCGACGAUCCGUAGCUGGUCUGAGAGGAUGAUCAGCCACACCGGAACUGAGACACGGUCCGGACUCCUACGGGAGGCAGCAGUGGGGAAUAUUGCGCAAUGGGCGAAAGCCUGACGCAGCCAUACCGCGUGUGUGAAGAAGGCCUUCGGGUUGUAAAGCACUUUCAGUGGGGAGGAAAAGCUGGUGGCUAAUAUCCAUCGGCCGUGACGCUACCCACAGAAGAAGCACCGGCUAAUUCCGUGCCAGCCGCCGCAGUAACAC
rnacentral:rRNA from 1 species